GGGCAAGUGUCAGUCAGGUCGGGACCGCGGCUGGGGACGGCGGAGACCCGGGCGGGCAGACUGGACGCCCCGUCCGCCGCCGCGCUUUCCGUGCAAGAUGGAGUUCCUGCUGGGGAAUCCGUUCAGCACGCCGGUGGGACAGUGCCUCGUCACGAUAUCAUUGGAGAAUUUACAACAAGCUACCGGGAACUUUCUAGAGGGCAGUCCCAAUUCAAUGUAUACGAGGUGGUGAAUCCCAAAAAGAAAGGAAAAAAGAAAAAGUGUACGAAUUCUGGAACAGUAACGUUACUCUCCUUCUUGGUAGAAACGGAAGUUUCUUUCCUUGACUACAUCAAGGGAGGCUUUCUGCUAUGGCCUGAAAAGGCGGUAGAAGAUGGCCCAAAUCCUUGGGCCCCUGCACCCUUGUGGGAAACCUGGAGGAAGUUCCUGGCUCCUGGCUUCAGAUUGGCACAGCUUCAGCUGUUGGAACCGAUUGGGGAGUGAACCAUCAGAUGGAAGACCUCUCUCUCUCUGUCUCUACCUCUGUAACUCUGCCUGUCAAAUAAAUAAAUCUUAAAAAAAAAGAACUGAGGCAUAAAGAUUCUAGCUAAAGGCCCAAUAUAUUUUAAGAAAAAAGAUUAGAGUAAGAUUAGCCCCUUCCCUGGUACCAGGGACCCAUGACACCCGGCCCCUUCCCUGGCACCUGGGACCCAGGACACCCAGCUCCUCCCUAGCACCUGGGACCCCCGACCCCCUCCCUGGCAACAGUGACCCCCGAAGAAUGGCCCUUACUGUCACUUGGGACUCCUGAUGUCCAGCCCCCUCCCUGGCACCCCAGAUCCCUGACACCCGGCCCCUUCCCCAAUGACCUGCCCCUUCCGUGGUACCCAGGACCCUGGAAGUCUGGCCCCUCCCUGUCACUCAGGACCCCUGACGCCAGGCCUUUACCCUGGUACCUGGGACCCCUGACACCCGGCCCCUCUCUGUCACUCAGGACCCCAGACACAUGCCCCCUCCCUGACACCCUGGGCCCCCGACGCUGGGCUCCCGAUCCUGGACACCUGACCCCUUCCUUGACUCCCAGGACCAGUGACUCUGGGCCUCUUCCCUAGCACCUAGGAAUUUGGACGCCCAACUCUUCCCUAGCACCUGGGACUUCGAACCCCUCCCUUGCACCCAGAACCUUGAUACCUGGCCCCCACCCUGGCACCCUGGACCCCUGAUGCCCGGCUCUCUCCUGGCCUCCUCCUUGACACCCUGGAUGCCUGAAGCCAGGCCUCCACCCUGGCACCCCGGGCCCCUGAUGCCCAGCCCCUACCCUGGAACCCGGAACCCCCAACUCCCUCCUGGGCCCCGGGAUCCCCAAAGCCUGGCCCCUUACUUGACACCCAGGAUCCUCGACGCCUGGCCCCCUCCCUGGCACCAUGGAUCCCCGAUGCCCAGCUCCCUUCCGGGCCCUGGGAUCCAGACACUUGGCCCCCACCUUGACAACAGUGACCGCCGAUGUCCGGCCUCCUCCCUGGUACCCAGGACCCCCGACACCUGGCCCCCUCCCUGGCACCUGUGACCCCCGACACCCGGCCCUCCCUGUCACUCGGGACUCCUGACAUCCGGCACCCUCCUUGGAACCGCGGAUCCCCGACACCCUGCCCCUUCCCCGACGCCCAGCCCCUUCCCUGGUACCAGGACCCCCGAUGUCCGGCCCCUCCCUGUCUCUCACGACCCCUGGUGCCAGGCCUCCACUGUGGUACCUGGGACCCCUGACGCUCAGCCACUCUCUGUCACUCGGGACCCCAGCCGCCCAGCCCCCUCCCUAGUACAAGGGACCCCUGAUGCCCGGCCCCCUCCCUGGCAUCCCGGAUCCCUGACACCUGGCCCCUUCCCCGAUGCCCAGCUGCUUUCCUGGUACCCAGGACCCACAAAGUCCAGCCCCUCACAGUCACUUGGGACCCCAGCCGCCCGGCCCCCUCCCUGGUACAUGGGGCCCCUGACACCCAGCCCCCUCCCUGGCACCUGGGACCCCUGAUUCCCGGUUCUGCAGUCACACCUCCGUGCAAAGGAGGCAGCGGCAGUGAAAUGAAAGAACACUGGACAAGGAGCAGAAGACCAAGGUCAAGCCCCACCCUGACCUUAGCUGACCAGCCGCAUGCUUGAGAAGCUCCCUGCCACCCCCUCUCCUCCUCUGUUCCAUCAGCACCUGCUGACAUCUGAUUCCAUCUUCAGCUGGAUGCCUUCAGUUCUAUGAACUGUCAUGUGCCACCUGAGUCUCCAGUAAAAACAAAAACAGUCAACAACAACAACAACAAAAAGAGUGGAACGACAGAAGAAAGACCACGCUGGGGAUGCCCUAGGACUUGGCCCAGCUCCAGCUCUGGGGCUUAGCAGGGACCAUAAUCAGCCACUGUCUGUGCUGCCCCUGGCACUCGGACCCCAGACACCUGGCCCCCUCCCUGGUACCUGGGUCCCCUGAUGUCCGGCCCCUUCCCUGGCACCCAGGAUCCUGACAUCUGGUCCCCUCUCUGGCACCCGGGACCCCCGACGCCUGGCCCUCUCUCUGGCACCCUGGACCCCUGACGCCCAGCCGCUCUCUGGCAUCCCAGACCCCCGAUGCCUGGCCCCUCUCUGGCACCCUGGACCCCCAGUGCCCGGCCCCUCUCUGGCAUCCCGGACCCCCGACGCCCAGCCCCUUUCCUGGUACCUGAGAGCCCCAUCGUCCAGCUUCUUCCUGGGCCCCGGGAUCCCUAAAGCUUGGCCCCCUCCUUGACACCCGGGACCCCUGACUUCUGGCCUCCUCCCUGGCAACCAGGACCCCAAUGCCUGGCUGCUUCCCUGGCACCCAGGACCCUCAAUCCCAGCCCCUCCCUAGCACCAGGACCCCACCACCCAACCCCUCCCUGGCACCUGGGACCCCCGACCACCUCCCUGGCAACCGUGACAGCGAAUGUCCUGACCCUCCCUGUCACUCGGGACCCCGGACACCCGGCCUGCAUCCAUGGUACCUGGGACGCCUGAUGCCCGGCCCCUUCCCUGGCACCCAUGAACCCGGUGUCCGGCCCCCUCCCUGGCAGCCGGGACCACCGAUGCCUGGCUUUCUCCCUGGCACCCCAGAUCCCCCAACGCCUGGGCCCCUCUCUGGCAUCCCGGACCCCCGACGCCCAGCCCCUUCCCUAGUACCCUGGACCCCCAUCGCCUGGCUUCUUCCUGGGCCCCAGGAUCCCCAAAGCCUGGCCCCCUCCUUGACACCCAGGACCCCUGCCGCCUGGCCGCCUCCCUGGUACUGCGGAUGCUCGAUGCCCGUUUACCUCCUGGGCCCUGGGAUCCAUGACGCCUGGCCCCCUCCUUGACACUUGGGACCCCUGAACCCCGGUCUCCUCCCUGGCACCCUGGAUCCCCAAUGCCAAUCCCUUACCCUGGUACCGGGGAACCCCCUUCUCCUGUCUCACUCCAGGGCCCGGGAUCCCCUAUGCCUGGCCCUCUCCUUGACUCCCGUGACCCUGGAUGUCCGGCCUCUUUCCUGGCACCCAGGAUCGCGACACCAGGGCCCCUCCAUGGCACCCCGGACCCCUGAUGCCCGGCCCCUUCCCUGACACCCAGCCCACUUCCGGGGACCCGUGGACCCUGGACGCCUGGCCCUUCCCUGACACUCGGGAUCCCAGAUGCCCGACCCCUUCCUUGGCACCCGGGACCCCCGACGACCUCCUUGGCACCCAUGACACCCGACUCCCGGCCACUCCCUUUCACUCGGGAUCCUAACGUGCAGCCCCUCCCUGGAACCCAGGACACCUAAUGCCUGGCCCCCUCCAUGGCACCCCAGAACCCCGAGGACCAGGCCCCUCUGUGGCACCCCGGAACCCUGAUGCCCAGCCCCUUCCCUGGUACCAGGGACCCCCAUCGCCCGGUUCCCUCCUGGAACCUGGGAUCCCAGAAGCCUGGCCACCUCCAUGACACCCGGGACCCCCAAUAACCGGCCUCUUCCCUGCACCCAGGACCCUCGAUCCUGGGCCCUCCCUGCACCCAGACCCCAAUGCCUGACCCCUCACUGGCACCCAAGACCCCCAACCUCCUCCCUGGCAACCAUGACCCCAAUGCCCGGCAACUCUGUGUCACUUGGGACCCCAGACAACUGGGCCCCUCCUUGGUACCUGGGACCCCUGACGCCCAGUACCUUCCCUGGCACCCAGGAUCCCGACGUCCGGCCCCUUCCCUGGCACCCACGAGCCCCAACACCCAGGCCCCUCUCUGGCACCCCAGACCCUCAAUGCCCAACCCCUUCCCUGGUACCUGGGACCCCCAUCGCACGACUCCCUCCUGGAUCCAGGAUCUCUGAAUCCUGGCUCCCUCCUUGAUGCCCAGGACCCCUGAUGCCUGGCCUCUUCCCUGACAACUGGGCCCCCCGACCACCUCCAUUUCACCCAUGACCCCCAACACCCCGCCCUCCCUGUCACUCGGGACUCCCAAAGCCUGACCCCCUCCUUGACACCCAGGACCCCUGAUGCCCGGUUCCUCCUGGGCCCCGGGACCCCUGAUGCCUGGCCCCCUCCUUGACACACAGGACCCCUGAUGCCAGGCCUCCUCCCUGGCACCCUGGUCCCCAGAUGCCCAGCACGUACCCUGGACGUGGAAUCCUCACCGCCCGACUCCCUCCGGGGCCCAGGAUCCCUAAGGAAUGGCCCCCUCCCUGUCACCCUGUACCCUUGACGCCUGGCUCACUCCUGGGCCACGGGAUCCCAGAUGCCUGGCUCCCUCCUUGACACCGGGAACCCCUGAGGCCCGGCCUCCUCCUGGCACCUGGGACCCUGAUGCCCAGCCACUUCCUAGGCACCUGGGACCAUGGACGCCCAGCUCCUCUGGGCACCCGGGAACCCCUACACCCUCCCUGGCACCCAUGUCCCCCAACCCCCAGCCCUUCCUGUCACUCUGGAUUCCCGACGUUUGGCCCCCACCCUGGUAGCCCGGAUCCCCGGCACCUGGCCUCUUCCCUGGCACCCAGGACCCCCAGCACCUGGCCUCUUCCCUCAAACCCCGGACCCCAGACACCUGGCCCCUUCCCCGACGCCCAGCACCCUCCUGGGUACACGAGACCCCUGACGCCUGGCCCCUCCCUGGCACCUGGACACCAAUGCCUGACACCUCCCUGGCACCUGGGACCCCUGAUCACCUCCCUAGCACCCGUGACACCCGAUGCCCGGCCCCUAUCCAUGGUACCUGGAAACCCUGAUGCCUGGACCCUUCACAGGGAACCAGGAUCUCGAGGUCCGGCCCCUCCUUGGCACCCAGGACCCCCGACGACUGGCCACCUCCUUGGCACCCCAGAAUCCUGAGGCCUGGGAUCCUCUGUGGCACCCCGGACCCCUGACGCCCAGCCCCUUCCCUGGUACCUGGGACUAGCAUUACCCAGCUCCCUCCUGGGCCCCGGGAUCCCAGACUCCUGGCCCCCUCCUUGACACUGGGAACCCCUGAUGCCCUGCCUCUUCCCUGGCACCGGGGACGCUGACACCAGGCCUCUUCCCUGGCACCCGGGACCCUGGAUGCCCAGCUCCUCCCUGUCACCCGGGACCCCCUUACAACCUCCCUGGCACCCAAGACCACCAAUGCCUGGUCCUUCCUUUCACUCUGGACUCCCGACAUCCGGCCUCCACCCUGGCACCCUGGAUCUCCGGCACCUGGCCCCUUCCCAAUGCCCAGCCCCUUCUCUGGUAUCCAGGACCCCCAAAGUCUGGCCCUCCCUGUCACUCAGGACCCCUGAUGCCUGGCCUCCUCCCUGGUACCCAGGACCCCUGACGCCCAACACCCUCCUGGGCACCAGAUUCCAUGAUGUCUGGCCCCCUCCUUGACACCCGGAUCCCCGGAAGCCUGGCCUCCUCCCUGGAGCCCUGGAGCCCGGAUGCACAGCUCCUACCCUGGUAACCAGGAUCCCCAUCACCCGUCUCCCUCCUGGGCUCCAGGAUCCCGGACCCCUAUCCCCCUCAAUGGCACCAUGGACCAGGGACGCCCAGCCCAUUCCCCGAUGCCCAGCCCCCUCCCACAUCCCGGGACCCCCAAUGGCCACCCCUCUCUGUCACUUGGGACCCCAGACGCCUGCCCCUCCCUGGUACCCCGGACCCCGAUGUCCAGCCUCUUCCCUGGCACCCAGGACCAUCAAUCUUGGCCCCAACCUGGCACCCGGACCCCAACGCCCGACCCUUCCCUUGCACCCAGGACCCCUGACUACCUCCCUGGCACCAGUGACACCCGACGCCUGGCCUCCCCCUGUCACUUGGGACCCCAGACACCUGGCCCCCAUCCAUGGUACCUGGGACGCCUGACACCUGGCCCCUUCCCUGACAUCCGGGACACCUGACUCCUGGACCCUCCUUGGCACCCCGGACCCCCAAAGCCUGGUAUCCUCUGUGGCACCCCGGACCCCCAACGCCCAACCCCUUGCAUGGUACCUAGGACCCCCAUCGCCUGGCUCCCUCCUGGGCCUCGGGAUCCAAGACUCCUGGCCUCCUCCUUGACACCAGGAACCCCUGACGCCCAGCCUCUUCCCUGGCACCCAGGAUCCUGAUGCCCGGCCACUUUCCUGGCACAGUGGCCCUGGACACCCAGCUCUUCCCUGGCACCCAGGACCCCUAUACCCUCCCUAGCACCCAUGACCCCCAACGCCCGGCCAUUCCUGUCAACGGGACUCCCAAUGUCUGACCCCGCCAUGGCACUCCGGAUCCCCAAUACCUGGCCCCUUCCAAGAUGCCCAGCCCCUUCCCUGGUACCCAGGACCCCUAUCCAGCCACUCCUUGUCACCCUACACUUCUGACGCCCGGCCUCCUCCCUGAUACACGGGACCCCUGAUGCCUGGCCAGUCUCUGUCACUGGGGACCCAAGCCGCCUGGCCCCCUCCCUGGCACCCUGGAUCCCCAACACCCGGCCUCUUCUCCGAUGCAUAGCUGCUUCCCUGGUACCCAGGACCCCUGAUGCCCAGCCCACUCCCAGGCACCCGGGACUCCAGACGCUGAGCCCCUACUCAGACCCUCCUCCUCUGGCCCCUCCCUGUCACUCAGGACCCCUGAUACCUUGCCUCCUCCCUGGUACACGGGACCCCUGAUGCCUGGCCAGUCUCUGUCACUGGGGACCCAAGCCACCCGGCCCCCUCCCUGGCACCCCGGAUCCCCAACACCCGGCCUCUUGCCCGAUGCACAGCUGAUUCCCUGGUACCCAGGACCCCUGAUGCCCGGCCUCCUCCCUGGUACCUGGGACCCCUGAUGCCCAGCCCCUCUCUGUCACUCGGGACUCCAGCCGCUCAGCCCCCUCCAUGGUACACAGGACCCCUGAAGCCCAGCCCCCUCCCUGGCACCCUGAACCCCUGACACCCAGCUCCCUCCUGGGCCCCGGGAUGCCCAAAGCCUGGCCCCCUCCUUGUCACCCUAGACUUCUGACGCCCGGCCUUUCCCUGGCACCAUGGGCCCCCGACGCCCAGCCUCUAUCCUGGUACCUGGGACCCCCAGGACCCCCAACGUCCUACCCCCUCCUUGGCACCUGGGACCCCCGACACCUGACCCCCUCCCUGUCAGCCCGGAUCCUUGAGGCCCGGUACCUUCCGACACCCAGCCCCCUCCCGGGCACCCAGGACCCCCGACACCUGGCCCCCUUCUUGACACCUGUGAUCCCGGAUGUCCAGCCUCCUGCCUGGAACCUAGGUCCCCUGCUGACCGGCACCCCCGGUUCCCAGGACCCCCAACGUCCUACCCCCACCUUGGCACCAGGGACCCCCAACACCUGACCCCCUUUCUGGCACCCCGGAUCCUUGAGGCCCGGUCCCUUCCCUGACACCCAGCCCCCUCCCGGGCACCCAGGACCCCUGACACCUGGGCUCUCCCUGUCACUUGGGACCCCAGACACCCAGCCCCCUCCCUUGCACCCGGACCCCAAACGCCUGACCCUGGGCUGUUUUUUUUUUUUUCUUUCAACAUCCAAGUACAAAUUUUAUUUCACAAAAAAUACAACGUGAUUCUUCCAAAAUGAAAACUGGAACACCUGUGGAGCUUGCACUGCAGCCUUCUUCUAGAGGAGUAGUCAGAGAGGGGGGAAAAAGAACAAAAGGAAAAACUAAGGUGUAAAGAUCAAUUUCUAAGCAAUAAAAUCUCAGUAUAUUGGAGAUCUUUAUUUAGAGAGAAUCCAUAACAUCUAAAAGUAAAAACUGAUAAAUGAAUUGAAUGAGAUUUCAGGAAAGAUCGAUAUGUUUAAAAUCCACUAGAUUACCAAGCACCGGCAAGAAACAAAUAGAAGAUAUUAAAGGUCAGUAGGCAGAGUGGACAACAUAUAUUGACAGGGGGGAAAAAGGCUUCAAUUAUGUGAUGCCUUUAAGCAUUCUUCAAAUCACUAUUAAAACAUGAUACAAAUGGCCCAACAGAAAAAUGAGCAGAAAUCUGAAGACAAAGAGAAAGCCCCUAAGCCUUGAGCAGAAUUUUAACUCACCUGAAGCAGGUGACCGCCAGCUGCAGCCAGGAUCCGCCUGCGAGAAGCAUGGGGCGACCCCGGGGCGACCCCAGCGGGUGGCAGGUGCACCACGCGGAGAGGAGCCCAGGAGGAGGGCAGGGGGCCGCUUCCCACCUCUCCUGAUUCACUCCAAGCACAGACCGGUUAGGGAGCCACGCCUUGAAGAAUGCUGAUUGGCUGCGUCUUUUGUGACGCUGUGUGCGUCCCCGUCCAAUCAGGCUCAGUGAUGUCAUCACAUGGGAUCUUGACGUCACAGUGGUCUUAGAGUUCCUCUGUGGAGCGAGGUCCCAGGAGAAGGCUGCGCUGCCUAGAAGCUCUAGAGCCCAGUGGGGGUCUGUGCUCUCCAAGUUCCCCUGCUGGGGGUCGCCAGUCACCUAGGAGCUGAGGACCUCGACAUGACUUCUGACGCCCGGCCUCCAACCUGGUACACGGGACCCCUGAUGCCUGGCCAGUCUCUGCCACUGGGGACCCAAGCCACAAGGCCCCCUCCAUGGCACCCCGGAUCCCCAACACCCGGCCUCUUCUCCGAUGCACAGCUGCUUUCCUGGUACUCAGGAUCCCUGAUGCCCAGACCACUCCCUGGACCAAUGACGCCGGGCCACUUCCCUAGCACCCAGGACCCGGAUGCCUAGCUCCUCCCUGGCACCCGGGACUCUCGAACUCCUCCCUGGGACUCCAGAUGCUGAGCCCCUACUCUAUCAUACCCUCCUCCCCGGCCCUUCCCUGUCACUCGGGACCCCUAAUGCCUGGCCUCCUCCCUGGUACCUGGGACCCCUGAUGCCCAGACCCUCUCUGUCACUCCGGACGCCAGUCGCCCAGCCCCCUCCAUAGUACACAGGACCCCUGAAGCCCAGCUCCCUCCCUGGCACCCCGAACCCCUGACGCCCAGCUCCCUCCUGGGCCCCGGGAUGCCUGAAGCCUGGCCCCCUCCUUGUCACCCUAGACUUCUGACGCCCGGCCUCCUCCCUGGCACCCUGGGCCCCCGACGCCCAGCCCCUACUCUGGUACCUGGGACCCACUUCUCCUGGCACCCUCUGGACCCCAGGAUCCCCGACGCCUGGCCCCCUUCUUGACACCUGUGACCCCGGAUGUCCAGCCUCCUGCCUGGCACCUAGGUCCUCUGCCGACCGGCCCCUUCCCCGGUUCCCAGGACCCCCAACGUCCUACCCCCACCUUGGUACCUGGGACCCCCGACACCUGACCCCCACCCUGGCACCCCGGAUCCUUGAGGUCCGGUCCCUUCCCUGGCACCCAGCCCCCUCCCUGGUACCCGGGAUCCCUGACGCCGGCUUCCUCCCUGGCACCCAGUACCCCGACGCCUGGCUUCUCCAUGGCACCCAGGACCCUGGACGCCCAGCUCCUCCCUGGCACCGGGAUUCCUGACCCCCUCCCUGGCACUGGUGACCCGCAACACCUGGCCUUCCCUGUGACUUGAGACUCCCGACUUCCGGCCCCUCAAUGGCACUCCGGAUCCCCAACACCUGGCCUCUUCCCUGACUCCCAGCCCCUUCCCUGGUACCCAGGACCCCCUAUCCAGCCCCUCCUUGUCACCCUACACUUCUGACGCCCGGCCUCCAACCUGGUACACGGGACCCCUGAUGCCUGGCCAGUCUCUGUCACUGGGGACCCAAGCCGCCUGGCCCCCUCCCUGGCACCCUGGAUCCCCAACACCCAGCCUCUUCCCCAAUGCACAGCUGCUUUCCUGGUACUCAGGAUCCCUGAUGCCCAGCCCCCUCCCUGGCACAUGAGACUCCAGAUGCUGAGCCCCUACUCAGACUCUCCUCCUCCGGGCCCUCCCUGUCACCUGGGACCCCUGAUGCCUGGCCUCCUCCCUGGUACACGGGACCCUUGACGCCCAGACCCUCUCUGUCACUUGGGACUCCAGCCGCCCAGCCCCCUCCAUGGUACACGGGACCCCUGAAGCCCAGCCCCCUCCCUGGCACCCUGAACCCCUGACACCCAGCUCCCUCCUGGGCCCCGGGAUGCCCGAAGCCUGGCCCCCUCCUUGUCACCCUAGACUUCUGACGCCCAGCCUCCUUCUGGCACCAUGGGCCCCGAACGCCCAGCCCCUACCCUGGUACCUGGGACCCCCUUCUGGCACCCUCUGGGCCCCAGGAUCCCCAACGCCUGGCCCCCUUCUUGACACCUGUGACCCCGGAUGUCCAGCCUCCUGCCUGGCACCUAGGUCCCCUGCCGACUGGCCCCUUCCCCGAUUCCCAGGACCCCCAAUGUCCUACCCCCUCCUUGGCACCUGGGACCCCUGACACCUGACCCCCUCUCUGGCAUCCCGGAUCCUUGAGGCCCGGUCCCUUCCCUGACACCCAGCCCCCUCCCGGGCACCCAGGACCCCCGACACCUGGCCCCUCCCUGUCACUCGGGACCCCAGACGCCCAGCCCCCUCCCUGGCACCCGGGACCCUGAACCUCCUCCCUGGCAACCGUGACCCCCGAUGCCUGGCAACUCUGUGUCACUUUGGACCCCAGAAAACCGGGCCCCUCCUUGGUACGUGGGACUCCUGAUGCCCAGCACCUUCCCUGUCUCCCGGAAUCCCCAAUGCCCGGGCCCCUCUCUGGCACCCUGGACCAUCAAUGCCCAACCCCUUCCCUGGUACCUGGGACCCCCAUCACAUGACUCCCUCCUGGAUCCAGGAUACCUGAAUCCUGGCUCCCUCCUUGAUGCCCGGGACCCCUGAUGCCUGGCCUCUUCCCUGGCAACCGGGCCCCCUGACCACCUCCAUUACACCCAUGACCCCCAACAGCCAGCCCUCCCUGUCACUCGGGACUCCCGAUACCUGCCCCCUUCCUUGACACCCGGGAUCCCUAAUGCCCGGUUCCUCCUGGGCCCCAGGACCCCCGACGCCUGGCCCCCUCCUUGACACCCAGGACCCCUGAUGCCAGGCCUCCUCCCUGGCACCCUGGUCCCCAGACGCCCAGCACCUACCCUGUACGUGGAACCCCCACCGCCCGACUCCAUCCUGGGCCCAGGAUCCCUAAGGAAUGGCCCCCUCCCUGUCACCCUGUACCCCUGACGCCUGGCUCACUCCUGGGCCACGGGAUCCCAGACGCCUGGCUCCCUCCUUGACACCAGGAACCCCUGAGGCCCGGCCUCCUCCUGGCACCCGGGACCCUGAUGCCCAACCACUUCCUAGGCACCUGGGACCAUGGACGCCCAGCUCCUCCGGGCACCUGGGAACCCCUACACCCUCCCUGGCACCCAUGUCCCCCAACACCCAGCCCUUCCUGUCACUCUGGAUUCCCGACGUUUGGCCCCAACCCUGGCAGUCCCGAUCCCCAGCACCUGGCCUCUUCCCUGGCACCCAGGACCCCCAGCACCUGGCCUCUUCCCUCAAACCCCGGACCCCAGACACCUGGCCCCUUCCCCGACGCCCAGCAAGCACCCUCCCGGGCACCUGGCCCUCCCUGACGCCUGGCCAAAUCCCUGGCAACCCAGACACCCAAUGCCCAGCCCCUACCCUGGUAACCAGGGCCCCCAUCACCCGGCUCCCUCCUGGGCCCCAGGAUCCCCGACCCCUAUGCCCCUCAAUGGCACCAUGGACCACCGAUGCCCAGCCCCUUCCACAAUGCCCAGCCCCCUCCCGUGCACCUGGGACCCCCAACGCCCGGCCACUCUCUGUCACUUGGGACCCCAGACGCCCACCCCUCCCUGGUACCCAGGUCCCCGACACCCAACCUCUUCCCUGGCACCCAGGACCCUCGAUUCCGGCCUCUCCCUGGCACCUAGACACCAACACCUGACACCUCCCUGGCACCCAGGACCCCCGAUCACGCCCUGGCACCUGUGACACCUGACGCCCGGUCCCUCCUUGACACUCAGGACCCCAGACACCUGGCCCCUAUCCAUGGUACCUGGAAACCCUGAUGCCCGGCCCCUCAUUGGCACCCAGAACCCCCGAUGACUGGCCACCUCCCUGGCACCCCGGAACUCUGAGGCCUGGGAUCCUCUGUGGCACCCUGGACCCCUGACGCCCAGCCCCUUCCCUGGUACCUGGGACUAGCAUUGCCCAGCUCCCUCCUGGGCCCUGGGAUCCCAGACUCCUGGCCCCCUCCUUGACACUGGGAACCCCUGACGCCUGGCCUCUUCCCUGGCACCGGGGACGCUGACACCAGGCCUCUUCCCUGGCACCCGGGACCCUGGAUGCCCAGCUCCUCCCUGUCACCCGGGACCCCCUUACAACCUCCCUGGCAGCGGGACCACCAACGGCUGGUCCUACCUUUCACUCUGGACUCCCAACGUCCGGCCUCCACCCUGGCACCCCGGAUCUUCGGCACCUGGCCCCUUCCCAGAUGCCCAGCCCCUUCUCUGGUACCCAAGACCCCCAAAGUCUGGCCCUCCCUGUCACUCGGGACCCCUGAUGCCUGGCCUCCUCCCUGGUACCCAGGACCCCUGAAGCCCAGCCCCUCUCUGUC